UGAUUUUGGGCCGAGUAUAAAUCUUCUCAAUUGCGUCAAAUUGAUUUAUAAUCAAGGCAAAGGUGACCUGUUGUCAACAUUUCUAAGACAUUUUAUCAUUAAGGUCUCUCUCUCUCUCUCUCUUGCAUGUGAGUGAAGUUCUAAACAUCAAGAUUUGUUUGUUUCAGAGAUGCUGUAACCAAAAUUCGUUUACAUAUCUCACAAUUCCUGGAAGUGAAAUUACAAAUUGGUUUAGGCACCAAAAUGUGGGGGCUUCAGUGAAUCUACAAGUGCCUUCACAUUUAUUAUUAAAUAGCAAAUUUAUGGGAAUCGCUGUGUGCGCUGUUUAUAUAUUCCGCCAGCAUCAUCUACUUCACCAACAUGAGCUUUGGUGUUCCAUUAGAGGCAACGGAUAUGGAUCUUGCGGACCGGGCGUUAGGUUUUCAACCGAAUUUGGUAAGAUUGAAUCGUAUCAUCUUUGGCUCAAAUAUUUUCCCCAUGAAGACUUCAGAAGCAACUGGAAAGAAAAAUUGAAUCGUGUGGAUGCUAAUGAAUUCACCCAAAUUGAGGUUACAUUUAAAACCAUUGGUCCAGGCUUGGAGGUUACGAAAUGCAGAGCCCAUUUGAUAUUCGAGCAAGACAUUGAAGAUCUCAAUCAAACUAAGCCUGGGUCUAGCAGCUGCACUAUCACUCCUUAUUAUGAGGAUGAUGAUUUAGGCGAUUCAGAGAAAGAUACCAAAAUCAAGGAAAGCCAUGAUGAUGAACCACCACACCCAAGACAGAGCACCCUAAUCUAAUUGAAAACUGGAUUGGGAAUUCAUGCAUACAUGAACAAGGUGACUCUGAUUGUGAGUAAGGAAAGAGGAAUCCCAGCAAAAGUGGCAACUUUGAUGAAUCUGCACAAAACCAAUAGUAGAUAAAGAGGCUACGCAAUGCCAAAUGGCAGAGAUGUUCAUACUACCGCCAAAGCAAAGGGUUUGGUGCUUACUACAACGACCACUACACUGUCUUUGAGUGACUAUGGGGUUGAUGCUGAUGAUGAUGGAGAGUUGAACUGGGUUUGGGGCUAUUUCUGUUUGGCUACGAGGAAACUUGAGGUUAAAUAAUAUGAAAAGGGUACCAGUUGGAGCUAUGCCAGAAAGCUUUGGAGGAGAAUAUUGUUGUUUAUUUGGGGACAGGUUGUGGGACAACCACAUUGUUGUACUGCUUAUACAUGAGCUGGGUCACUUGAUAAGGAAGCCCUAGAAGAGCAUAUGCAUCAUCCUUGCCCCUACGGUGGCUCUGGUUCAGCAGAUCAUGCUCAUGUAACCAGUCAGAUGCCUGUGAAUUGACUAUUAUCUUCUGGACGUAAAGAAGACUCGUAGAUGACUGUGCAGAAAUGGCGGUUGGUUCUGCUUCUGCUGAUGACUGUGCUGUUAAGGCUUUGACAAGUUCAGCUGCUAAGUGGAGAAAGAGGAUUUUCAUAGGAUGUAUUCCGAUUGAAUCUACAGUUGAUAAUGUGCAGUUGCAUUUCAGUCAGUUUAGCUAUGUUUUGGACGUGUAUCUUCCUAAGGAUGAAAGAAAAAUGUGUCAUAGGGGGUUCGGUUUUAUGACAUUGUCUGAUGAAAUUUCAGCUGAGUACACUUCUCAGAAAGUACAUAGGAUACGUGGGCAGACAUGUGUAUGUUAUCAUGAAAUAUGAUAGACAGGUGCUUGGGUCCAAUAGGCACUCAUGUGGGUAGCUGACUAUCAAAGGAAAGAGCCUCAGAACUUUCUUGUGCAGAGUGGUUUGGUGGGCUACUGUCUAUCACAUAUGGUCUCAGAGAAACUUAAGAAUUCAUGGAGAGGUCAAAACAGAGGAAAUCAAAGUGAAGAGAAUGAGAAAGGAUGUUAAGUUUAGAAUGAUGUUCAAAGGAAGUAACUGCGACUCUAUCAUUCAUGGCUUCUGCUUAAAAGUUUUGCUAGUAGCUGGGUUUGUGAUUGGUCUUAUUUUAUUAAAGAAGAUGUUGGGUACGAUUAGCACCAAUCUGAUGCUGUAGUUUAGUCCGAAGGCUCAUAUCUCUAUGUAAAACUGGGUUGGGACGAUGUAACACUGUUUUCAAAUGGAGAUGAUCUUUUAAUGUAUAGGUCAGGGCAGAUGCCUUUGUUGUAGUGGACUAACUGAAGUCUCAGUGUUUUAAGUGUUUCUGUUUUGUAACAAUAAAAAAUUAUGAAUUAUCCAAAAAAGAUAGAAGAAUGCUCAAUUCCUUUUUUUUUUU